GAAAAUGAAGUAAGUUAAUGGAGUUUGGUAUGGUGUUUUAAAUGUCUAAACAACGCAAAAAACCAUUAAAAACGGGUCGCAGUUGAAUCCUCUGCUAAGAACUCAGAUACACUGUCCCAUUACCAUUAACAUACGAAAUCACAGAGCAUUGUAAGAAUUAUUCAGUAGUUGAUAUUUAAUACGUGGUUCCAUCAACAUAUUGUGUUAACGGUAUAUUAAAUUGGGUUAUUCGUAUAAGACUCUACUUGAUCUUAGGACAACCAAAAUGUCAAUGAUUCAUUUGAUUUUUGAGAACGUCAUGUGUUGAAAUGAACAGUUGUAUGAAUAAUUCUUCCUACAAGGUGGAGGGAUAUAUUUGGUAGUACAAAAAAAUAUAAUCUUCAAAUAUGUCUAAGAACAUUAUAGUUGAUGAAUGAAGUACACCAAAAAUUAAAAAAAUAGCCCCCAUAGUAAAAAUUUAAAAUUUCAUUCUUAAUCAUGGCCAAGCAAAAUGGGACACAUAACAUCAACAAUAAAUCAAUCACAGAAUGAAAACGCAAAAUCAGAGGUUUCAUUAGCAUAUUAUUCUAAGUAACCAGUAACUUAAAAAACAUAACCCAAAUCGCAGAAACACUUUCAUCUUAACUUGAUUCAUCAAUUGAGUUCUGUGCUAUCAUAUAUGCUUUUAAUCUUUCUGUGACACCUUGUUUUGUUCUCCAACUUGUAGUUUCCUUCAGAGGUGGAAAACAAACGUGUGAAAAAUUGAACUAUUUCUUCAAACAUCAUUCUCUUCACUGAUUUCCUAGGUGCUGGAAUCACAGUUGCAUUCAUCUUAUAGUUGCAUAGGUUGUUCUUCACCUGUUUCUUCACCACUACAUUCUGGUUCACUUCCUUAGCCAUGGCCACCAUAUUUUGUUAAGCUUCAAAGGUUUAUCUUUUCUAUCUGAGAUUCUCUCCUUGUUUUUCUUUGUAUAUGAAUCUGGUGAAUGAUAUGGCACAUAUUUAUAAUCAUUUGUAAAGUAGAGAAAAUUUCAUUACCCAUUUCCUUUUCUGUCUCUUUCUUACUUAUCGAGAGAAUGUAUAAAGACAAGUGUACUAGUUUAACUAAAAAGGAAUAAAAGUAACUUGUUGUAUUCCUUCUUCAUUAUUGAUCUUUUUAGUAUGGUCGGCUAAAAUUAAGAAAUUCAAUAAAGAAUUUGAUAUUUCCAUAAGAGAUAUUAAAGUGUUUAUUGACAUUAUAACAAAAUGUCUCAUUCCUUAUUCUGAAAAUAAUACUUUAAUAAAUAAUAUAAAAAUAUUAAUUUUUCUUUUUGAAAAUGUUCUUUUAUUUAUAUAAUGAUAAUAUGUAAUUGAUUCAGGAUAUAUCAAAUCUCUAUUCAUUGAGCCUACCUUAGAGACUAGAGAAUAAUAUGAGUGAGACUUCUCUCCAUUAAUAGAAAGGCAAAUAGUGUAUAAAAGUAAACAAAAAGUUCACAUAUAUUGACACUUAUAUCUUUUUUAUGUGUAAUGAUAUUACACUUCUACUCUUAAAAUACAAAUGAAAAAGUCAUUUGUCUCUCCAUUACUUGAGAGAAGUCUCACUCAAAUAAACAUGUCUCUCACCAGCCUAUUAUUACAAGUUCUUUGACUGCUAUUUGUCGGUUUUCUUUCCCAUUACUUAGCAAAAGAAAGUCUCACAUUUUAAGGUAUAAAACAUUAUCAUUAUCUCCCCAACAAUUAGAUAUCGGGCAAGGACCCAGUUGCAAGAUCAAAACUCUACCAACUAAGCUAUAUCUAUACUUUUAUGCAAAUUAAAAUAUUUAUAUUAUAUCUGAUGUAUACAACAUUGUUUAUAUUUAAUUGUAAAUCAUUAACAUAAAUAUUUUUUUCAAAUAAACAACAUAUUUUAUUCAAAAUGAAUAAUAUUUAAAAUUAAAAAAAAUGCAAUAACUUUUACAACCUUAGUAAACUUUAUUCCGCUCAAAGUCUAUCAGCAUUAAUCCCGGUGCCUUUUGCAAAUCACAGUCUAAGUUUUAUAGCUUUUAGAAUUGGUUGUGAGUUGAAAAGUAAGAUUUCAAAGAAUAUGUUUUAUGCGCUCCAAAUGUUUAUAUAUAUAUAUAUAUAUAUAUAUAUAUAGGGAGUUAAGAAUAAUUCUCAUAUAAAAAUUGUAAUAAAAAUAAAUCAGGACUUUACGACUAAUCAUUGAUGGUUAUGAUUUAUAGAGUAAAAUUAUGAUUUAGGUAAUUUAUAUUUAAUCAUUAGUUAAUAAUAAAAUAUUAAAAGAGUUUGAUUAAGUGGUUAAGAUGAAGAAUUUAAACAAUUAUGUGAUAAGAAAGUUUACUAUUGAAAUUUCACUUACCAAAAGAUGAUUACAUUUAAAGAAUGAGAUAUUAAAUAUUUUAAAUAUUCAAUAACUCUUAUUUUCCAAAUCAGGAAUGAUCAUAGUGUUUUGUUGAUAACUUUUACUUUUGAGUUCAAUUACUAAGUUUUUGAAGAAAUUCAGCAUAUUAUUUUAAUUUUAAAUAUAGUAUUAAAUUAAACAAUAUAUAUAGUUUAUCUUAAAAUAACAUAUUUAUAUCUAUGCUAAAAAUAUAUUAUUAAAAAUAAAAAUUAAUUUUUUUAUUAAGCUUCAUAUAAUAUGAAUACAAUAUUUCACAUUAAAGUAAAAGUAUACUAUCAAUACAAUGUCAAUAUAAAAUUAUACUAUAUUAUAUAUUAUUUAUUUAUUUCAGUAUUUUGAAGAAUCAAUGCACUAAUAAUUAAUGAUGCAGCAAUGGUUGAAUUUCAGGGCAUUUGGUGGGCCCAAUGGGCUCUGAUUUGGAAUUUUGGUUAAGAUUGAAGGGGUCCGGUGUUUGGGUUAUACGUAUGUUGAAGUUGGAAAGAGAAGAGUAUAGAAUAUAGAGAGAAGGUAGAAAAUGAAAGUGACAUGGAAGAACAAGAAGAAGAAGCGGUGUUUGUUACCGUUACCACUAUUCAAUGAUAAAGAAACUGAUGAAGUGAAUGUUCCCAAUACACAACAACCUCAGCAACAGAAUCAAUCGGAGUUUGAGGAAACAAGACAUUUAGCUAAGGAAUUUCAAGCUCAAGGAGACAACCUUGCUCUGGUAUCUUAUGUUUUGUCUCAUAAAUUCAAUGAUUACAUAAAAAUCAUUUUUUUAUGAUCAUGGGUCAAAAUUAAUCACUUUUUUGCAUUACUACUUUUCCUCAAGGUUGAUGGGGAAAUAUUAUGUAUUUUACAUUGUUUAUCAUAUGCCUUACUUCAUAUAAUUCUAUUCCAGUGAAGAAUUAGAGUAUGGAAAUUGCACAUCCAAUACAAGGUACUUGAAAGUUAGUGAUAUGUGUUAGAUAAGUUUAGGUUUAGCUACCAAUUUUCUUUUUGUUCAAGCUUGAAAAAGUGAUUUUAACAUUCUAAAAACAAUGUUAUUUUGAUUUUAUAUUUUUUAUGUAAAUCAGAAGCCUAUAUAUAUAUGUAUAUGUAUAUGUAUGUAACUACAAUUAACGAAGUGCUUUUUUACAUUCUCUCCUCUUUUGCUGGAGCCUUUUUAGCUGAAGGGAUAGCUUUUCACAAAAUCUGAAUUUCAGUUUUUUUUCAACUACUGCUUCUUAGUAAAAGCCCAACCGACGAAACAUUUAAGUAUGAGCAAAUAAUCACUUUCAUUUGUGAAAUAUACUUCAACAAACAGGCCCUGAAGCUGCCCUAUCUUGAUUACUUAUCUAUUUUAAACAAGAAAAUUACGGGAAUUUUCUGUAAUUUGGGAUAACAUGGAUAGUUAAGACAAAGUAGGAUUUGAGUGCAAAAUGUUUGGUGAAUUUGAUGUCUGAUAAGUAGGGCCUCAAUUUCUUUCUGCUUCUGGGUUCAUCUAGUCAACUGAAAUUUUGGGAUUAAAGGCUUGCUAUUGCUGUAGUUACUUCCAUUUUGUUCAUUGUUGUAAUUCGGAAUUUCUUUCUAAAUUCUGAGAUAUUUCAUACCAUGACAUUUGGUUUCAGAUGAACUUCUGCAAUUUGGAUUUAAUAUCUUUUGUUUGGCUAUCUUAGAUAUAUUCCAAGUUGAAUUUAUUUCUCUAAUUCUAUUACUCAUGGCAUGGUCAGACACAUGAUUAUAGAAGUGGCAUGCAAUAUGUCCUUGUUCUAGUCGGCAUUUUGUUCUUGAGUGACGUUGAUUCUCCUCAUUGCGGGUUUUGUUCAUGGAAUCAAUAUUGCAAACAGCUUACUGCCUUUCUUUCUUGCAGAAUGGGAAGUACCGAGAGGCAUUGGGUAAAUGGGAAACAGCUAUUACUUUGGCACCUGAUUUUGCAGUUUUACAUGAACAAAAGUCCCAAGUUUUACUAGAAAUUGGAGAUGCUUGGAAUGCUUUAAAGGCUGCAACUCGUAUGUUCGUGUGCUAUAUUCUUCUUUAUCGUGUUCAUUUCAUGUAUACAAAUGAAAUGCUAAAUUCAUAAAAUAAGUAUAACAAAUGGACUGUUCAUUGAUGUAUCAUUAAUAUUAUCUAAUCACUUUUUUAUCGUAAUAAGUCCUUGUUCUCAGUGACAAGUUUAUGAAAUUCCCCUUUCCUGUAUGAACAUUCUAUUCAGUAGUAUAUGAUGAAUUUAACUCUAGCAAGGCCAAAAAAGUAGUUCAGUUCUGGGUCAAUUUCUAUACUUACAUAUGUUCCGGGUUUUUCUGUCGAUGCUUGUUAUACAAUUUCAAUUGUUUGUGGCCCAGUGCUUGAAAUAUGUUAUGAUCUUUACUUGUCAGGAGCUACUGAAUUGGAACCAUCGUGGGCUGAGGUAAGGCCUUUGCAUAUGCCUUGUAAAAUGCAGUUACAAUUUUUGGAAUUUUUCCUUCCAACUCAAGGUAGUUCUUUGUAUCACUUUUAUGCUACAAAUUUGUUGAGUACUCUCAAUUAGUAAUUAUGUCCAAGGAAAUAUAUAAUCGUAGUUUAAUACUGGAUAAAUGACAUUUGAAAGAUUCUCUUCAGAAACUACUCAAAUUGAUUCGGAAACGUUCACCUAUAUAUGUGAUCUAUUUCAUGCAUAUUAUUGGGUUUCCUCAUGAAGAUCUCUUAUUGUUAGCAAUAAGGGUGAAUCAUUGGCUAACCUGCAUUGUUUUACUCUGUACAAAAAUAACUAGUACUGCAGUGAUGUCUAUGCUUAAUAGUGAUACGGGUGGACCUAAUGCUAGAAAGGAAUUAGCAUUACAAUUCGUAGUUACCAGACUCUGAAUCUUGUUGGACAUUUCUUCUGUUUAACAUUGACUGCUCUAGCUUUAACUUGCAAAUGCUUGGUUGAUUCACCCUCGACCUCUUUGAUACUUAUAUAUUUUGUUCAUGUUAGAUUUGACAUAUAGUCAUUCUGCUUAUAUUUUGAUACCAAAUCCUUUGCGAAUUGUGUUAAUAGGACUUAUAAAGCAGCAGUAAUCUUAUUUAGAUAAUAUGCUAUAGAAUAAUUAUGGAUUGCCAAUGAUCAAGCACAUGUCGGUGUCCGACACGUAUCUGACACAGAUACGCUCGGAUUCGCGAAAGAUAUGUAUCCAUAGAGUAUCCAAAAAUUAAAAAAAUAAAUAUUAAGACACGUAUUCGAUUCGUUUUCAAUAAAAUAUUGGAUAUAUGGGUUCGUUUUCAGUAAAGUAUAGGAUAUAUAGAUUCGUUUAUAAUGAAACAGGAUAAGAUAGAUUCGUUUCCAAUAAAACAGGAUAAAAUAGAUUCAUUUCCAAUAAAACAUGAUAACAUAGAUUCGUUUUCAUUAAAAUAGAAUAAAAUAGAUUUGGUAUGGAGGGCAGUAAUUUUAAAUUUCCAUAUUUUUUACUUUGGAUAUUUUGAUUUACACUUAUAAUUUUAUCAUAUUUUAUGUGUUUUUAUUAUUUUAUACGCGUAUCCCUGAACGUAUCGUAUCCUGUAUUUUGGAAAAAAAUAUGUGUCGACGUGUCGGAUACGUAUCGUACCCGACACACGUAUCAGUAUCCGUGCUCAUAGAUCAAGCCUUCUAGAGUCUUGAGCAGUACUGGGUCAUUUUAAACUCUACAAAUUGAUGUAUUUAUUUCAAUAAUGAACCUUCCAGGCAUGGGUCACACUUGGCAGAGCACAGCUGAAUUUUGGUGAGCCAGAUAACGCUAUUGAAAGCUUCGACCGAGCUUUAGCCCUCAAGGUUAGUCUUCAUGAUUUUUCGGUAGCUGUUUACUUAAAUCCUCUAAUCAGCAUUCAGUUUGUAUGAGCAUUCGGGAUUAUAAGUUGAACCUCCAAUCUUUCAAUCUAUUUCCAGUUUUAUACUUCAACAAAGUUAACUUUUUUGUGCAGCCUGAUUAUGAGGAAGCUCUAGGUGAUAGAAAAGCUGCAUCAAAUCUUGUAAAGAAGAGAAAGCAACUUCACUCAUCAGGCUUGAGUUCCACUGAAAAUCGUUAUGUGGUAGGAGACAAGAAUGAAAGCUCAUGAAAAUAUACAACAGGAGAUAAAGUUAUCCAAAUACUCCUAUGUAAUGUAAUAUUUGAUGGUAUCAGUUUCUGUAGAGAGAGAAAUUUUAAGGUGUAUAUUGUCAGCUUCUCAAUGGUCAUAAAGUUUAUAGGGGUGUACCUAUUUGCAAGAUAUUUAUUUAGAUAUGAAGAAAUGAUAUAUAAGGGUCUGUUUACGAGUUGAGUUUGGAAGGGAAUAAAGGAAAAUGGGAGACUUCAAAACCAUCUUACGCACAAGUGUAUUUCAUAUUCUUAAGCCUCUAAUUUUCCUUCUAAACCCCAGCUCGCACACGAACCCUAAAUGUGCAAACAACUUUCAUGGUGUAAGCUAAGAGUAUAUCGUAACCUCCUCUAAUAGUAAAUGUGAAAAAACCAUUGAGAUACAACCAACCACAUGGGAACUAACACAACACCUUAACUUUCGUUGCAUGGAUAUGGGUAUGAGAAACAUUAUUCUCUAAAAAAUUAGAGUACAUAUGUUAAUACAUGUCAUUUUUUAAAUUAUAUAUAGUAGGAAAAUAAAGUAGUUAGAUCACCUUUAUUUAGAAAAAAACUAGCAAAAUUGGUUUGGAUGCUUUUUUUAAUUCAGCAGAAGAUUAUAAACUUUAAAAGUACUUAGAUCCCUUAAAAUUAAAUAUUAUUUGAAUAUGAAAAUUCAAUACUGAAAAAUUACAUUUGCCUUGAAGAUAAAUAUAGUGGAUUUCAACACACCAUAGUGUGGAUUUUGGACACAUAAUUUGUAUAUCUAAAAUCACUUAUUUUCUAAGAAACAAUCGCCGCCUUAUAUUGCAGAUUCAAUCACUUUUGUAUAAUGUAUAUUCUGAGGUAGUUCACUCUUGUUACAAUUUUUUUUAUUUACAAAUUCACCAUAGUCCACUACUUGUAACAAUGAUACACAGAUUGUUGCCACUCUUUAUGUGCAUUCACUACACAAUCACCCAGGCUUUAUAAUAAUUUUGUAAAUUUCAAUUGAGAAAGUGGAUCAAAACUAAUAUAUUUAAUUAGAGACAUGAUUAGUUUUUUAUACAGCAAUAUGUGAUAUGUAAUAUCCUACUAAUGGCUAUUGCUUCAAGUAGAAAUGGAUUUCGUUCUCCUUGGGCAAUAUCCCAAAUUCAAGUUUCAGUGAAUAAAAAAAUAAACAUUGGAAAAGUUUUGACUUCUUAAAUGAGUUGUUGAGCUCAAAAUGUGAUUUAUAGACAUGGAAAGUAUAAAAAAAGUAAAAUUCUAAAUUGUGUUUGCCUGCAAAUACUAAUAAAAUUCAAGAAAUUUCAAUUGCAGCAAAUAGUAUCUGACCUGCUUAUUGUCACAAAGAAAUCAGACAUUACAAUUUCACAUUUAAGUAUCAACCACAUCUAUUACAAUAGUAUCUGACCUGCUUAUUGUCACAAAGUGCACUUAUCAGUCUACGUUGAUGCUUUGUACUGUGUCUUUCUGUAGUUCUAUCUUUGGUCUUUCAAUGUCAUGUAUCCAAAAGUCAACAAAAUCUACCAUAGUUUUACAUCCUAACAAAAUUAGUAAUCAGAACCAAAAACACAUGCAAUAUGCCAUUAGGUAUUAGCAGUUAAAACUUAAAAAGUAUGCUAAAAAAAGCUCAAGUUCUCUUUGAUUGAGUCUGGGUUUCAGUUAAGUUCUCUUCAAAAUUCAAAGUAUUGGCUGCAGUUAAAAGCAUGUCCAUUCCUCCCACUACUUCCCGUCCUCGUUUAUUGCACCAUAUCUUAUCAUUUGGCUUCGAAACAUUUUCAUCCGUUUUACAGUUCUUACUCUCGUAUGCCUUUUUUGCUCGGCGUAUUGCUUGGAUCCCUGCAUCGCAUUUUCUGCAGAACCAUUUCCCUUUUGGAACAGAAGUUCGUGGAGGUUUCAUGCAAUAGAUGUGGUAUGCAUGAUCACAGCUAUCACAGAGAACAAUCUUAUCAUCAUCUUGAUCAGUGAGGCAAACUCGGCAUAAACAAGAAGGGCAGUACCAACAUUGAGCAUACAACUUCAUCUGCUUACUUGACAAACACCUUACAUGGUAGUAUUUACUGGGGCAAAACGGGUGACCACAUAUUUUCAUUUUUUCACCAUCCACCACUUCUCGACAAAUUUUGCAAUCAGGUGAGUCUCCCCCACCUAUGGACACUUGAAUUCCAUCAUCAUGAGUACCAUUUGAAUUCUCUUCCAUCUCCUUCAGUGUUUCCUCAUCUGUAGGGAUGUUUUCCAUACCAACAUCGUUGUUCAGGGCCUCCGGGACGUUCAACCUUUCACACACCACACACUUCUCAUGUGGACAUCCAAUUUCUUUAUCAGAACAAUUCGCACAGAACCAGCUUUUUUGGGGUAUUUCUUUCACAGCAGGCUCAAUACAGGGAACGUGGUACAUCUCCUCACAUGAAUCACAAACCAAACAAUCCGUCCCAUCUGCCUUCUUUCCACAAUGCCUGCAAAUGCAAGUUUUAUAUGUAGCACAUUCUUCUGUCUGCUCUGGUUUUAUUUGAGUGUUGGAUUCCCAAUUAUAUAACUGUUAGACAUGACAAAAUGAAAACAAUUCUUAGGACCAGUUUAUAAAUCUCAAGAUCAAAUUCUUUAAGCAUUUGUUAGUGAUCCAACAAAAUGAAAGGGCAAAGCUUUUCAAGGAUAAACAGGUCUUGUGCAUUGCUGAUAGUGAAAACUUGGAAAGCCUAGAAAGAUAAUAGACAUGAUAUUCAGACUAUGAAAAGGCUUAAAAAUCAAACAAAUCCUUGCCCACCUGAUUCUAUCAAAUUCUCUGGUGCCAGAGGAAAAAUUAAAUACGCCCUUCAUGUCUUUUCCCUCUCAAUCAGAGGAAAAUAAUGUUUUCACAGUAAGUAAAAAGAAUUUCCAAACAUAGGGAUUUCACUCUUUGCUUUUAGAUGUAAGACACAUUUAACUACAUCAACAACAAUCAAAGAGAUGUCCCACUAGAUGGGUCAAACAACGCCACUACGUCCCAUCAAAAAUCAAAUAUUCUGAAAGGUCAUUUAGAUAAAAAAAUAAGCAAGAAGGGGAAAAAUUAUCUCAGAUAAUCAGAACAAUAUGUCUGUUAGCAUUUGUCUCUAUCAGAGUAGCUAGAUGGUGCAAAGGAGAAAGGGGUUACAAUUCUUCGAUUCUUUUUUUAUUUUAUAUUUUAGGCCCACAACCUGGUAUGUAAGGGGAGAAAGCAAGCCAAAGUUAACAUCAAGCAGCUGCAACGGGGAUGAACCUGAUCAAGUAGAACCCGAAGAGACUUUAUGCCACUUGAGCUAAGACUCUUUGGUUUUUGCUCAAUUUAAUUUCUUUUUUUCGUUGCAAAAUUGAAGCAUAGCUAUUCUUUAUUCCCAAAAAAAUAUAUCAGGAAAUAUGCAUUUAUUACUCUAAUUCAAAGUUACAAGUAUUUUGUAAUACACAAACUGUAUCUUUUGCUAUUAUGAUUCAAGCAAUACUGUUUACAAUACAUAUUGCAUAGACUAGUAGUAGAGGUAUAAGAGGAAAGGACAUCUAGGUUAAAACUUUUAUCAGAAUAUGUAGAUCAAAGUUCCGCUAAGAUGACAUAUACAUGCCCAGUUCGUGAAAUCUUAGAAUCCAAUUUUAAUUAUCUUACCGCUUCCUUUUCAUCUUCGAAUGAGCAGUUUGCUGGAACUCCAACCUGAAGGGAAGAAAAACUGUGGUUCACAAAAAAAUCCAAAAGCAAAGAAAAAAAUAUGGAACCUAAGCACUUCGAGAAAUAAUUACAAGGGUUUGCCUUACCUUCUCACAGUAGGAAGCUUUUGACAUGUUCGAGAGACUUUUGGUAAUAGCAACGAUCUCAUUUCCAGCAUCUUGAAGCUUUCUCCAAACCUAAAAACAUCAAUAAGAAUACAUCAUAUAAAAUGAGAACCAGAAAAUAAAUUUUCCUGUCAUCUGCUCGAAGGCUAGAAAUUAAUAAGGACACUCAGAAUUACCCUCACGUGAUACACUAGUGAACCAGAUACGAUUUCAUCUUGAAGCGAGAAACGAGAAGCCAAAGUUAUAUAUAAAUAACAACAAACAUCAGAGGAGCAAUAGUUAAAAGAAAUAACAUAAGAUGCCCAAAAGCCCAAAACCACUUAACAUCAUGAUACUUGGGUAAACUGGAUAUUAAAUCAUCUAAAAUUUUCAAUUUUUCUCCAGCAAAAUCAUAUAGCCACGUAAAAAAUGUUUAAUUGUAGAGAGGCUAUUAAAAAUUUACCUGUUCAAUAUCUGACAAGAAAAGUGCAGGUGAAUCUUCAUAAGCUUGUUCUUUCAUCCUCGUGUUUAUGACAUUAAAGUCAAAUACCCUUUCAAGUUUGAUUCCUUGGAAAUUUUCAUGUAGCACCUUACAUAAUGAACUGAAUUUUUCAGAGGUUAAGAUAUUACAUAACACACGUUCACACCUCUCAGUACCACCAGGAGCAACUGGUUUACUAGAGCAUCCAUUAUGCAUGAUAUUUGCAUGUCCAUUAGUUUCAUUCUGUAAUCUAUGAGACAAUAACUCAGAUUGGGAGGAGCAUUCUUGACCAUCUUUGUUAUUUUUUAAAAUUUCCUGCAAAAAAAAGAUGGAAUAUAAAAUGAAAGAAACAAAAGAGAUUUAGGGCAGGUCAUAUAAGCAGAAAUAAUUAGUUCUCUCUGUAAAACAUACUGUAAAUGUAGGGGCACAACUGAAUUUGGGAUUGUUCAUGAGUGCUUCCCUUACGGACCCCUCUAUGCUGCCAUUGCUACCACCUAUUGAAUGAUAUAAAUGGUUUAGCACAACUUCUACCCAAUGUCCAUGUGAAUAAUCUUUUGAAGUAUUGCCUACAGCUAAAUCACAUGGUUUCUUCACAGCCUGCAAAAUAAGAAAAUUUCAAAUAUAGCAUUAUAGAAUGAAACAAAUAAGAGUGUUCAAUAUUUUCCUUGGCAUCAUCUAUGGGCCGAGUUCAGAAUCAUCUCAUGCUAAAUUGUGAAGCACAAAUCAAGAUAUCACAUCAGUCAAAUACAAAUAUAGAAGCACAAACGAUGAAGGCCAAGCAAGGUAAUGUACAGACAAAUUCAAAUCCUGUCAGCUGAACUACUUACAUCAAAAAGAAUAAAUGAUUAUUAGUAUAUGAUUUUUCUAUAGAAUUAUAAAUAUGUACAAUUACAAGCAGGAAAAUAAUUGUAUCUCCGUUUCUUCCCCUUAACUGACAUAAAUUUUAAGGUUCUGCUUGUAAAAAUAAACUCAGCCUUUAGAUCAAACAUGUUAAAACAUACCAAUGCUAGCAUUUUCCCUGGAACCUGAAUGUUAUAUUGUACCCUUGUCAACAGCAUCAUUGACUCAUGGCAUUCAUUUAUAAAGUAAACAAAUUAUCUGCCAAUUACAAUAAAGUUCAACUGAAUCUGCUAUCAAAAUAUCCAAAAAUCCAUAUAAACUGCUUUUCAAGCCUUUUAAAAACACAGAACAUAGGUUGCAACUCAGAUCCAUUGAUGCACAAUAAUAAAUCUUGGAUUUUACCAUUGUCAAUAACAUCAUUGUCUAUCAUUGCAUUCUAUGAUAAACACAGCAAAUUAGCCCCCUAUUACAACAAAGUUCAAAAGAAUCUGCUAUGCAGUAUUAAAAAAAUCCAAGACUAUAUAAGUUGUUUUUCCAGUACAUUGUAAAUCUUCAUUCAACAGUGCAAAAAUGAAGAUACAUGAGGAUCUAUUGUUAGAAAUGCGCAAUAGCAAUGCCAAACACAAUUUUAUAAAAUAGUCAUGUCUUGUCAUUGGUGUUUUAAUACAUGAUCCAUGACCAAUAAAAUCAAGUACAUCCUUUCUCUAGUGUCUUAACUUUGAAGUAUGCUGUGUAUAAGUUGUAACUUAACUCAUUUUGCACAUAAUAAAUUUUAACUUAAAAUGAAUUUGAUGCAGAAUCACAUGCUCUUAAGAACAGCAUUAACAUAAAAAAAUGAUGCUCCAAAUUCUUUUAAGUGAGGAUGUUCUCAUCAUCGUAUUCACAUAUUUAACUGGCAGUAACCCAAAGCUACCAAAUUGUGAAUAAAAUGCAGUUCAAUGUGGGGUUAGUUAGAUUAUUCUUACAAGCAGAAAAAACAUGCUUACUGAAAUUAAGAUAAAACAGGUAUGACAAAUCUAUAUCCAUAAAGCAUAAACAAGUUAAGAGCACAAAAUAAAAACAAUAAUAGCAUUUGUUUUUCCUUAUACUUAAACAAUAGAACUUUUCCAGUUUAUUAUCAAAUAUUUUAUAAAAACUCGCUACCAUGGAUUUAGAAACCUAUUUAAGAAAUCAAAAAACCUAUUUAAAACAGCAAUAAAAUAACAUACAAAGACAUUAUUCCCCCACAGUCAACAAUUUUUCCCUCUUUAUGACAAACAACUAUAAACUGUUACAAAUGGAAUCCAAUUCAAAAACAAAAAAACACCCUUAAUAUCAACUCUCUCGCAAGUUACUCCAUAAACUACAAGUUGUCGCAUGGCACAUGUUUAUAUAAGAAGCAAUUUAUCACUUUCCUAGGUUUCAUGUGUGCCUACAUGAACUAGAAUAUCUAGCACCUUGCACCUACAUUCUUACUAUAUAAAUAUAAUACAUAACAUACAAAAUUCAUCUUGUAGAUUAACAAGCAACAGCUGGCAAGUGACAACCGAAAGCCAUCACGGAUACAAAAUUACAGAUGCUGCAAAAGGGGUAGAGGAAACCUGGUCUGAUAAGCGACUUGCAGCUUCCACACGUCCUUUGCUGACUUCCUGAACCUUGCUUUCUGAAAUCGAUUUUACAUGCUUACGCCUCUUAUAAGUUCGCAAAUAUACAACUCCAGUAGAGUCCCCCUCAGCAAUACCUUUCCCCUUAGUAAUUUCCACUCCAUUACUAACAGUUCGGCUCUUCAAGUACCGAACAUCUUUUCCUUUAGAAACACUGUUCCCAUCAGCAAUCACUACUCCAUUAUUUACAGUUCCAUUCUUCAAACACGGGACCUCUUUACCUUCAGCAACACCAUUCCCAUCAGCAAUUGCCACUCCAUUAUUUACAGUUUCAUUCUUCAAGCAUUGAACCUUAUUCUCAUCUUCAGUUCCCACCACAUUAUCCACAGCUUCUUUCUUCAAGCACCGAAUCUCAUUCCCUUCUUCAAGUGCCAUCCCUUUAUUUACACUCUCCAUUUCCAAACAUCGAUCCCGAUCAACAUGCUUUGGAUUUUUGGCAUUGACAGUUUCUUCUUCAGUAUCCAUUAAAAGAAGUAACCUUGAUUUUCAGCAGAAAAUUAGGGUUUCACAGCAAACAGAUCCAAAAUUUCUCAAGACUUGUUGUUAAGCACCUUAACAAAGCAAUAACACUGAAAACCCAAAAGAACAUGGUUAUCAAUUUCAUACAGUUUAAGCUAAAACACACAGUCCCCUCAUUUCAGCGCAAAAACAAAAGAAAGAAAAAAGAAAAAAAUGCAAUUUUGAGCAAUGAAAUGUAUGUAGUUUAGGACUCUUACAAAUAGAAAAGUGAUUUGAACCUAACACCAAGAUGCUAUGGAGGCACAAAAUUGAGUAAAUAAUUAAAUAUGCACAUGCCAGAUUUUGUUUUAACAUUCGUUAUUAUUUGAGCAUCGAAGAGAUGAGUGAGUGAGAAAUGAAAGAGAAAUAAUAGGGAAAAGAGAGAGAAAGAAGAGGGAACUUACAGUGAUAGUUAAGUAAUGGAAAUGGAGAGAAAAUAGAAGAUGGUGAAGUUCUAUUUUGUAGAUGCAGAGUGCAGUUGCAGAAGAAACUCCUUUUUCUUUCUCUCUCUAAAACUCUAUCGUUUGGCGUUUUAUCUGAAAAGAAUUUCAAACACCGGUCAUUUGUUUUUUCCUUCUUUAGUCUCCAGGUCUUGUGUUUUCUCCUCGAUUGUAUUUAUAAGGUGUAUAACGAAACGAAUCAACUCGAUAUUUAUUUGAAAUAAACAAAUCUAAUCGGGGUUAAGUAAGUAUACAAGUUCAUAAGCUGACUCGAUUAUAUAUACAUAUAGAGAGCUUCUUGGUUUAUACAUAUAGACUUUGAACUUAAGAACGAUAUCAAUCGAGCUAAUGAGUUAAAGUAAACAUUUCGCAAACUCCUAACGAAUUAAACCUAUUUUGGGUUGAUGGUAAAUCAAAAUGAAUAGUUCAUGAACUCAAAUUGAAUCAAGCAAGAAAACUAGCUUAUAUUAAAAUCUAGUGGAAAUUUGAGUUGAAUCAAUUCUUAUCGAGCUGAACAUGUCAGCUUGGUUAGGCUCGUUUAUAGAACCACCAAAUAAGUCUAAAAACAUCAAUCUCCCACAUAGUAGCCUAUGUGCCUCCACCACUCAAACAUCUAUAUUAAUUAUAGGACAAAGAGAUUUAAUUUUUUUUACAACAUAACCUAUAAGAUGGACUGAGAUUGUUAGGAAUAGACCUAUCUUUGAAAAGAAAAAUGUAACUUUGGUUUGUUGGAGCCACAUUGCUGGCAGUAAAUGAGAUUUCAGGUAGACUACCAUCUUCUGGUUGCAUGAGCCAAUAUAUGGUCUCUUAGUUAUUAAUACAAUUGAACAAUUCAGAAGCACUUUUCAUAUCUUAAUAUCUUCUAGUUUGCAUAGGUACCCUCAGCUACAUCAUUAUGAGAAUUCACCCAUUCCAUUGCAGUUUCAUGAUGCAUGAGAUAUUACACCAUUGCCUGAUAGAAAUAAAUAAUUUGUCAAACACUUACAAUGGGAGGUACAGAUUGAGAAAGAAAUACAUCUUAUUAACUUUGAAUCCUAACAUCAUGAUCUCAACUGUUCUCAUGCAUGGUGACAGGAGAGUGAGUCGGGCAGUAGCUGGCUCGGGGUGUUCUGGUUGGGUUGAGCUGAGUCUGGGUCGGUAGUGGUCGGGCUGGAAUGCUUUCUGGAGUCGCCUGAGUUGAGCUUGGACCUGUUGGUGGAGGUACGUGAAAAGGUGAUCCGGAGAUCAAGUUAGUAAGUGACUGAGGGAGAGAAUAAUAGCUCAAGGUAUGAGCAAUAAGUAUGUGUUAAUGUCAAGAGAUAGAGAACAUGGUCUAAGAUAUGAGAAUAAGUAAUAUUUCCUUAUGGGGUGAGUCCCCUAUUUAUAGUGGGGGAUAUAUGUAAUAUUCUUUGACUGGUGUUGUUGGCAUGACCGACCAUUGGGACUUGUCGGUCUGUUCUGGCUUAUUAGGAGGCUACUUUAUACUUGUCGGGUGGCCCACCCAUACCGUAUUCUGAGUAUGGUUGACUGAUAGCUUGUUCUAGGCUUUGUAGCUGUAGUUUAAGCAUGUCCUUGCUGUAGAGUAGGGAGUUAGCUGAGAACUACAUGUGACAUGUAACAAGUGUCGACAGCGUGACAAAUGGAUGACAGAGGUUUGGUCCCAUUACUCACUCGUGGGAUGGUAUUGGGUAAGAUAUGUCUCCUAGUAGUUCGAUUGGUUGGCUCGUACCAUGGACCCUUGUAACAUAAGUUCUUGUCAGGUAUUCAGGCUUGCUCAGCCUUGAGUAAUCCAACCCGGUCAAAGGGGAAGUUGUUUGACCAUGAUGGAGCACAACUCAAAUAGGUAACACUAAACUAUAUAUAUUCACAUAUCACCUUUAACAAUCACUAAGGAGCAUAACAUGUAUGUUUGUAUAGAACAGUAAUCAGUAAUCAAAAAGUGGUAUCAAUCCCAAAACCAGUUGGUAUCAGUCCCAAAACCAGUUCAAAUUCAUAAUAGCAUAAAACAAUGUGAAUGCUAAAUAUAGGUUAAAACUGUUUCAACCAAUUUCUAGAUGUUAUAUAUUAUAUUCAGGUUCAUUGUUAUUAAGUGCACCAAAUAGAAGCACCAAAUAGAAACAACUCAUGGGCACUUAGGCCCAUGAGUGUGGUAGAGCUUGUAAUCAUUAUUCUAUAAUAAUAUCAAUGCUCCUGGGAAGUAGACACAAUUGACCGAACCUCGUUACCAAAUUCUUUUGUUUCUUUUCUUCUAUUUAUUCUAUGCACUCUAUUUGUCUGCUGCACCAACAAUUGAUAUCAGAGCUAAUUGGUAGAUGGCUCUUAACCUAGGCACCAAAUUAUGGCUAAAGAGGGUGAAAGCAUGUUGAUUGGACAAGGUCUAUUAAAGGUAAUGCACGAGGAUAAAGUCAAAGAUGAGUUGAAGGAGAAGGAAACAUGGUGGGACCAUAGUUGUGUUGGAUCCAGCACCACAGAAGUCCACGUAUUGGAUUGAGACCAAGAUGAAGAUAAAGACAAAGGUGAUUGGUUAGAUGCUAACAAUAUCUCUCUAGAUGUUGAGAGAAUGAUCUCGUUUGAGAUGAAAAGUGGAAUUCCUAAUGGCGUGCGUGCAACGUUAAAAUCAAGUAUAUUAAUUGUUAGCAGAUUCACAAAAGCACAAAGGUGCUAAUUGAUUUUGAUGCAGGGUGUAACACGGGCAUUGCUUUGGGUGCAAGUUAUAACACAAACAUUAGUAGAGAAGCAUGGUGUGACAUAGACAUUAGCUUGGAUGCAAGGAUAUGGCAUGUAGAUUUGUUAGCAUUAAUACAAUAUGUACUGUGAGUAUACUCCUUAUGGUGAAGUAUAAUAGUUCUUUUGAACUAUGAUUGUCAGACUAGACAAUGGUGCAAGCAGUUGAGGCUUUUCAAGGAAGUUCAAUGGUUUAGCUAGCUGAGUAUUGAAGAAGACAUUUGUCAGUGAAGUUUGGUGUAGAAGUUCUAUAAUAUCGAAAGACUUCCUAGCAAUAGGUGGCUAGACAACAUGUUCUAUUAGAUGAUGGUAUGUGAAGGUACACUAAAGGUUUGGAGAGCUAGGCAUUUGGUAACAUCGUCAAAGAUACUCAGAAAGACUUAUGCUCAAGAGGAGCAAAACUCUUAUGUGGAGAAGUUGUUAAAGAGAAUUAGACAUUUGGCAAAGUGGAGUCAGAUAUUCGCUAAGGUGAAGAUUAUUGUGUAGAUUUCUCAAUGAGCGAAAUAUUCGUCUAUUUCAAUCAAUGUGAAGAUUGUUAAGAACAUUUGAAAUAUGUUAUUAUAUGAAGUUCCACAUUGCCUAGUAUUAGAAUAGAGUAGAAUAUUAAUAUUAUAUAUUGAAAUCAUGUCUCUUGUUAUUAAGUGCACCAGAUAGAAGUACCAAAUAGAAACACUCUAUGGGCAUUGGGGUCCAUGGAUGUGGUGGAGCUUAUAAUCCUUAUUUUCUAAUAAUAUUUUGGUAGCCGCUCAAUGCUCUUGGGAAUAUAGGCACAAUUGGUCAAACCUUCUUGUUUCUUCUCUUUUAUUUAUUCUAUGCACUUUAUUUGAUUGUUUGUGACCAACAGUACACAAUGAUAACUUCCGCUGCACCAACACUUAGUAUGAAAGCAACCUAACAUAAUUAAAGAUGAGCAGCUUAACAAAACAAAAACAUAAGCAAAUUUAUCACACCAAUCAUGCAUAACUCCUAUUAAACCACGGUCAUAUAGAAGUAUAGAACCAGUAAUGUGUUGAAUCCACUAACAGGAAGGAUAUUCAUAACCCAGAAGUCAUUCUGAAGAUUAUGCAGUGUUGUAGCAAACCUGCAUUUAUCAAAAUAAAGUUACCUCAUAAGACACACAUAGGUAACUGCAAAGCUAUCUUCAUUGUUUAAAAAUGUUAUUAUAGUCCAUAUUGCAUACUAGAUAACUAUUGUUAGGAGGGUGAACGAUUUCACCAUUAAAAUUUAGAAUCACUAAAUCACUAGAAUACUUUCAUCUAAAGAAUCGAAUUGAGGAAACUAGCUAGGAAUUCAAUAACAAAUUCAAAAGUUUCAAAGAAAUAAGCAGUAGAGAUUCUUGCAAGAAAGAAAAGAAGAUACAAGAAGAUUUUAUGAAGAAUUGUCAAAAUGUCAAAAAUGUCAAGUAAUUUGCUUAACAAGUUACUUACACAAAAGUCCCAACACUAACUAACUUUCUCUCCCAUUAACUAACUAUACUAUUACAAUUAUGCCCUUAAUAUUGCUCCUCCCAUACAAAAAUUGUUGCCCUCAAGAAUCGAAUUGAGGAAACUGCUAAGAGAAAUCAAAACAAAACUCUGAUGGAAGUAGAAGAGCUUCUUCUUUUCUGGAAAGAGAAAUUGUAUAACCUACACAAAGAACAUUAAAGGAAGUAAAAGAGCAUAUGGAACAUCGAAUGGUAGAGAAAAUUGAGAAAUGCAUGGUGGAGCUUGCAGAUGAAAUUCAAAAGACAUUGGCAGAAUCAUUGAGAAAUACAAGGAGGAACUUAUGAAAAGGAACAAGCAAGAUUCAGAAAGAUCACCCAAGAAUAGAAGCUUUAAUUCUAAUGAACAAGAAUGUAAACAAGGUGUUCAAUGCUUUGUUCCAGAUGAAUAAAAAUCUCAAUUCCUCACACUUCGCUUCUGAAAUUGCACUGUCUAGAGUUGAUUUUCCUAGGUUUAGUGGGGAAAAUGUUUAAGUCUUAGAUAAAUCAAUGUGAAACUUAUUUUAUGUGUAAUGGAACACUUGAGGAGUUUAAAGUAGAAUUAGGCAAUGCCUAUUUUGAAGGAAAAACAUUACAAUGGUAGGAUGUUUUUAAAUCUAAUUGGAAUAGUGUUUGGCUUAAAUGGGAUGAAUAUGUGAAAAUUUUGGUUAAACAGUAUAGAAAGCUGAAUGAUGAUACUAUUGUGGAACUAAUGAAUUUGAGAUAGAAAAUAUCAAUAAUGAAGAUUUCAAUACAAUCAUCACAAAAUUACAUUUGUCAAAAAUGUCAAGUAACUUGCUUAACAAGCUACUUAUACAAGAGUCUUACCAUUAAUUAACUUUCCCUCCCAUUAACUAUAUUAUUACAAUUAUGCUCUCAACAUUUGUAGCACUGUUGGGCUUUUAUUUACCAUAAACCAGAUUUUAGGUGAUGUUUAUUCAUCCAUUGUUUGGAAUUUUCACUUAAACAAAAAUCAUAUAUAUGCUCAUAGCCUCAUAGUAUUCUUGUCCUUUGUGUUAUUGUGUAUGUUAAAAGAAAUGAGAAUGCUAAGACUUGAAGUAUUGAAAAUGAGAAUUUUGCAUUACAAAAUGAGUAAUUGGUGUGGUGCCCACAAAGAUAUAAAACUAACAUCCUAGUCACCCUCCAUCAUAUCAAAAGAUAUGUUGUAUUUAUUUAGCCCUCAUACAAUUUUAUUUCACACAAUCACUAUAAAAGUCACAUCUAAGCAACAACCGUGAAAGGGACCAAGAAUUUAUUGCACACCAAACUUAUUCUUCAUUUUUUUUCACUUGAUAGAUAACAUUUUUCUCCUAGCAGAGAACAAUGUUGUUGUUGUUUUACUCUUCCAUGCGGAUAAGGCACCUUAUACCCUCCCCUUUUAGCAUGUACUCAAAUGCUUUAUUAAUCUCUGAGAAUGGAAUUGAGUGAGUGAUAAAUUUCUCCACUUCCAGCUCCUGCAUCAUUAAUCAUUAACACAAAGCACUUACUGUCAUCAUAUGCUAUCAUAAAAUAAUUGUACUACUAAAUGUAUCUCCUCAAUCUAAGGGUAAGUAUGUAAAUCCCUUUCGAGUGUAUGUUUUUUCUUCCAAACAAGUGUCAUCCCCAUAAAUCAAAUUUUUAAUGUUUUAUUCUUUAUGAGAUCUAGUGUAACCUUGCACUACUAUACCAACGACUUGUUGGUAUACACUAUCAAAAUUGAAACAUGAGACCACUCUCUAAUAUUAGUAUCUCUAUGAUCACCUUGUUCAUGCACUUCUCCACAACAGAAGGAAGAUCCGUGCGGGGUUUGUAGUUACCAAAGAAGGUACCCUUAAGAGUUCUCCCAUCCAAGAAAUUCAUAGGAUGAGUUUUAAAUUCGGCAUCUUUUUUCGGCACACCAACAAGAACAGCAACACCCCAUCCCUGACAAGCAGCAUUUCAAAUGAAAAUUUAAUAAUAAUAAUAAACAGGUUAAGAUAAUAUAUGUUGUGUUCAAGUAACAAGGAUUUAGGACAAUACAUCAUGAACACAUUCAAAUGCAGCAAUGGAAGCUUGGAUGUUUCCAGUACAUUCAACAGCGCGAUCUACUCCUCCAUUAGUCAUCUCAGCAAUGAUCUUUCUCACCAAUUAAAUUUCAAUUAUCAUAGCAAAAAAGAGCAUAUUAGUUCUUGCCAUCCAAAUAUGAAUGUAAUAUCUAUGCACUGCUUAUAAAUAUUUAGACACACUCAAUAUUUCAUUCAUCAUUCAUUUGCAUAUAAAACUCGCAUUGCCCGGUGCAUACAUUUUUGUUUCUCUCAAAAUAUAUGAACACAAUUAAAUACUACAGGUAAAGCAAUACAAGAAUAAUAAUUUGUGGACAUAUGGUAGGUUAGAUCAUUAGACUUCACUAGUUAACUGUCUUUGGAGUAUGAACUAACCUGUUGUACAGGUUUGUUAUGAUCUUUAGGAUUCACAAAGUCAGUGACACCAAACUUUUUGGCUGACCAAAAAGAGAGAAAAAAGAAGAAAUUUUCAUCAGCAAGUAUAGCAAUAUAAUUAGAUUUUUGACUUUUGAGUAAGAUCUUAAUUAGAGUGAAAUAUCUACCUUCCUCAAAUCGGUUCGGAACUAAAUCAACCCCGAUGAUUCUAGAUACACCUGAAAGCCUUGCCCCUUCAGCAGCCUAAAAUGCCAUAUUUCAAGGUAAAAGAUAUAGUCUUACAUUCUUAAUUUUGUUGAAGGACAAAGAAUAAUGAAUGAAGAACAUACAGCAAGACCAACAGCUCCAAGUCCAAAGACAGCAAAAGAAGAAUCGGGCUUUGGUUUUGCAACAUUUACAGUAGCACCAAAACCUGCAUGAAUUGAACAAAAUUAUUAUAUUUUAAACAAAAAAAAGUCACAUUGACCAGAACAAGUUAUGCAUAGGCAGCAUAACCACUAUUAGAUAUAACCAAUCAAAUAUUUGAUUAGUCAUAAAAAUAACAAUCUAAAAACAACAUAACUGUUAAUACAAUUAAUUUAAGAUAUCUUCAACUUAUGAUUGAAAUGAUUCACUGUACUUCAAGUCACUAACUUUGAGUGAUAUGUACUGUUGGAUUAAAACUCAAACGGCUUAGAUUCCAAUUUAUGUUUUGAUUUAACUUUUUGAGAACAAGACCUAAGUUGUUUGAUCUUCAUUCAACCAUAAAGAUCAAUCAAAGUCGUCGCAUAUCUUGGUUGCGUUGUAGUAUAUAUUAUUACAAACCUGUGCAGAAUCCGCAGCUGAGAACACAAACUUUGUCAAGUGGAGCAGCAGGGUUGAUCUUUGCAACACAUCCAGCAUGAACAACAGUGUAUUCGCUGAAUGUAGAGGUUCCGACGAAAUGGUAAAUGGGCUGUCCAUUUUUCGAAAAUCUAGUUUUUCCAUCAUUGAGCAUAACACCUCUAUCUGUGUUGAUUCUGAGUAGCUCGCACAAGUUGCUCUCAUCUGACUUGCAAUGUGCACAUUCUCCGCACUCUCCAGUGAACACAGGGAGGGCAUGGUCCCCGGGUUUGAGAUCAGUCACACCCUCACCUAUGCUCUCCACAAUCCUAACACAAUAAUGUACAUCAUCACAAUUACAGUGUAUAAGGACUAUUUGGUCAAAAUAGUUACAAGAGAGUAUAUAUGUGUGUGUUAUUUAAAGGGAAAAUUGAAUGUAUCCUUAGCUAAAUAGGAAAUGAAACCUAAGGCAAAGGGUACACGAGAAAACAGAAUUUAUGAUCAACUAAAAAAGGGUGGUAGAUGUAUACAGUGUAACACUCGCAAGCGGAAAUGCUAUAUCAGGACAUUUAUGAUUAACCAUUAGUAACAAAUAUAUUUAUUAAGAAACGUACCCUGCAGCUUCAUGACCUAGUAUGCGGGGAAAUAAUGGAUUCUGGCCCUGAAAUUGAAAAGGAUAAAGCAGGUGAGGAGCAUCAAAAGCAAAUUCAUAUAUCCGAAGUGACCCUAUGAUCACUAGGAACAACAAUUUCCCCAAUACCGGAGAAGGGAGUUCUUGUUUUUUCUUUCAAUUUCAACGGCAAAAGUGUUAUUUCAUUGUAAAUAAAAGGUUUAAAGUGUGAUAGCAUGUUAUUUCAUUGUAAAUUACAUUUUGUACAUUUCAUGUUCAUAAAUUCUUAGAAUCUAAAUGAUUGAAAUCUUGUGUACAACAUUUUUAGACAACAUCAGGAUAAUAUUUGAUUUAGGUGAAUUUGGAUCAACAUUGAAACAUUACUUAUCUUAAGAUAGGGUAGAUAAAUAUAUAUAAAUCUUUGUAGUAUCAAAUUUUGUUCAUUGCAAAAAUAAGAACAUGACUCAAUCAUGUUACCUUGGCCUCCCACCAGUAAACAUCUGUACGGCAAAGAGAAUUGUAGAGGAUCUUCAAACGGACUUCACCGCGCUGUGGCGGCGCAACCUCGACUUCUUCUAUCACUAGUGGCUUCCCUGCCUCCCACGCCACCGCAGCUGCAUUAUUUUACAGGUAAUUAACAACUACUUAAGGCAAUUAAUUUGUAACAUAAGGUAGGCAUUUAUAAUGCAUAGCACAACAAAUGAAAUAUCAUGAAAUAAUGUAAAGUCUAGUAUACAUAUAGUUUAAGAAAAUGAAGAAAUUUGCAGCUAGCAAAUUUAAUACAUCAUGGCUCACCUCUGCACUUGAUGACCUUACCAACCUUGCUAGACAUGGCUACUAAGUAAGGAAUAUUAUGAAUCAAGUGAUGAUGAGUGUGUUAUGGUUCUGCCUUAGGGGAUUCUAUUUAUAUUGACAAAGUUAUUAAGCAUUUAGAAAAACCACCAUUAGUUUUACACUACAGAAUCUGAGCAGAUAGCUUUUCUUAACCUUUUCCUUUUUCUUGUAAUUACAAAAAAUAGGGUGAGUUGUGAAGCAACGGUAAGAUUGUUCUUUAGUCAUUAAGAAGUAACGAGUUCAAAUCUUGGACAUGGUCUCUCUUAUUGCAGAGGUAGGGCCAUAAGGGUGCAUCUAACCUCUUCAGGCUCUACUAAAUGAGAGUCUUGUCUCGUGCACGGGACCAUUCUGCAAAAGGGUGUGUCUUAGCGCAAUAGUAAGGUUGUUAUUUAGUAACCAAGAGAUCAUAAUCUUAAAAACAACAUAUUAUCUUUUACGAUAAUGUUGCACACAAUACUCACUAUGUGAGAGUCUAGUCAUCUAGUGCAUUGGGCCAUAUUUCUCUUGUAAUGACAAUAUGAGUUACACUAUACUCCAAUCUACCUGAGCUAUUGAAGUGUUUUUUUCUUUUGAUUCUUCUUGAGUGUCCAUGCUGAUAACAUCUGUAAUGCUAGUUGUUUGUAGCAUAUCAUGCCACGCAUGCACUUAAAUGACUAAUCUCCAAAACCACCUCUUAAAUAGAUGCUAUAUACAGCAAAAAGAUAUGAAAAGAAAGCAAGAAAACAAGAGUGUGUUAGUGUAUAAAUUGUUUGAACAAUAUUAAACAUUCUUGUUAGUUUCUACAAGAUGGUUCAUGGGUUUUCCUUGGACACAUUAUCCUCCCAAGGUUUCUUUCUAGGGUGGUAUUGCUUACCUGGUUUUAAAUAAGAGCAUAGCCUUCAAAGUGGUUUUUUCAUUUUUCAUUUUCUAGUGUCCAUUUUGUAAGGUUUUUAAUUUUCCAUAAUAGCCUUGAGACGUAUUAAGCUUCUCCAUCUAUUAUUGCAUGGUUUUCGAGAUUAGAUACAAAUCUGAACCCAAUAUUAGACUCUCCAAUUGGAAGAGAAUUUCAACCCAUUUAGCUUAUUUUCUCAAAUUAAGAGCUUAUUUGUCAAGUGGAUGGUUGUUUGAUUGUGAUUUAUAGUUUUUAGUGUGCAUAUAUGUAUAUUACGUUGUUGGGUUUGGAAUCAUUUGUGCUUAGUGUUGCUUAAUUGAUUUUACCUAAGAAAAGAUAAUCUCUCCAAGUGGUUUUGUUGUUUUUCUAUUAAUUGGAAGUUUUAUAUAUUAUUCACUACAACUACAACAUUUACAUGUUAUACCAUUUUCACAGAAAAUAGACAAAUAUGAAAAACAAUUAAGAGUUUAACAAAGCAAUAACACUGAAAACCCAAAAGAACAUGGUUAUCAAUUUCAUACAGUUUAAGCUAAAACACACAGUCCCCUCAUUUCAGCGCAAAAACAAAAGAAAGAAAAAAGAAAAAAAUGCAAUUUUGAGCAAUGAAAUGUAUGUAGUUUAGGACUCUUACAAAUAGAAAAGUGAUUUGAACCUAACACCAAGAUGCUAUGGAGGCACAAAAUUGAGUAAAUAAUUAAAUAUGCACAUGCCAGAUUUUGUUUUAACAUUCGUUAUUAUUUGAGCAUCGAAGAGAUGAGUGAGUGAGAAAUGAAAGAGAAAUAAUAGGGAAAAGAGAGAGAAAGAAGAGGGAACUUACAGUGAUAGUUAAGUAAUGGAAAUGGAGAGAAAAUAGAAGAUGGUGAAGUUCUAUUUUGUAGAUGCAGAGUGCAGUUGCAGAAGAAACUCCUUUUUCUUUCUCUCUCUAAAACUCUAUCGUUUGGCGUUUUAUCUGAAAAGAAUUUCAAACACCGGUCAUUUGUUUUUUCCUUCUUUAGUCUCCAGGUCUUGUGUUUUCUCCUCGAUUGUAUUUAUAAGGUGUAUAACGAAACGAAUCAACUCGAUAUUUAUUUGAAAUAAACAAAUCUAAUCGGGGUUAAGUAAGUAUACAAGUUCAUAAGCUGACUCGAUUAUAUAUACAUAUAGAGAGCUUCUUGGUUUAUACAUAUAGACUUUGAACUUAAGAACGAUAUCAAUCGAGCUAAUGAGUUAAAGUAAACAUUUCGCAAACUCCUAACGAAUUAAACCUAUUUUGGGUUGAUGGUAAAUCAAAAUGAAUAGUUCAUGAACUCAAAUUGAAUCAAGCAAGAAAACUAGCUUAUAUUAAAAUCUAGUGGAAAUUUGAGUUGAAUCAAUUCUUAUCGAGCUGAACAUGUCAGCUUGGUUAGGCUCGUUUAUAGAACCACCAAAUAAGUCUAAAAACAUCAAUCUCCCACAUAGUAGCCUAUGUGCCUCCACCACUCAAACAUCUAUAUUAAUUAUAGGACAAAGAGAUUUAAUUUUUUUUACAACAUAACCUAUAAGAUGGACUGAGAUUGUUAGGAAUAGACCUAUCUUUGAAAAGAAAAAUGUAACUUUGGUUUGUUGGAGCCACAUUGCUGGCAGUAAAUGAGAUUUCAGGUAGACUACCAUCUUCUGGUUGCAUGAGCCAAUAUAUGGUCUCUUAGUUAUUAAUACAAUUGAACAAUUCAGAAGCACUUUUCAUAUCUUAAUAUCUUCUAGUUUGCAUAGGUACCCUCAGCUACAUCAUUAUGAGAAUUCACCCAUUCCAUUGCAGUUUCAUGAUGCAUGAGAUAUUACACCAUUGCCUGAUAGAAAUAAAUAAUUUGUCAAACACUUACAAUGGGAGGUACAGAUUGAGAAAGAAAUACAUCUUAUUAACUUUGAAUCCUAACAUCAUGAUCUCAACUGUUCUCAUGCAUGGUGACAGGAGAGUGAGUCGGGCAGUAGCUGGCUCGGGGUGUUCUGGUUGGGUUGAGCUGAGUCUGGGUCGGUAGUGGUCGGGCUGGAAUGCUUUCUGGAGUCGCCUGAGUUGAGCUUGGACCUGUUGGUGGAGGUACGUGAAAAGGUGAUCCGGAGAUCAAGUUAGUAAGUGACUGAGGGAGAGAAUAAUAGCUCAAGGUAUGAGCAAUAAGUAUGUGUUAAUGUCAAGAGAUAGAGAACAUGGUCUAAGAUAUGAGAAUAAGUAAUAUUUCCUUAUGGGGUGAGUCCCCUAUUUAUAGUGGGGGAUAUAUGUAAUAUUCUUUGACUGGUGUUGUUGGCAUGACCGACCAUUGGGACUUGUCGGUCUGUUCUGGCUUAUUAGGAGGCUACUUUAUACUUGUCGGGUGGCCCACCCAUACCGUAUUCUGAGUAUGGUUGACUGAUAGCUUGUUCUAGGCUUUGUAGCUGUAGUUUAAGCAUGUCCUUGCUGUAGAGUAGGGAGUUAGCUGAGAACUACAUGUGACAUGUAACAAGUGUCGACAGCGUGACAAAUGGAUGACAGAGGUUUGGUCCCAUUACUCACUCGUGGGAUGGUAUUGGGUAAGAUAUGUCUCCUAGUAGUUCGAUUGGUUGGCUCGUACCAUGGACCCUUGUAACAUAAGUUCUUGUCAGGUAUUCAGGCUUGCUCAGCCUUGAGUAAUCCAACCCGGUCAAAGGGGAAGUUGUUUGACCAUGAUGGAGCACAACUCAAAUAGGUAACACUAAACUAUAUAUAUUCACAUAUCACCUUUAACAAUCACUAAGGAGCAUAACAUGUAUGUUUGUAUAGAACAGUAAUCAGUAAUCAAAAAGUGGUAUCAAUCCCAAAACCAGUUGGUAUCAGUCCCAAAACCAGUUCAAAUUCAUAAUAGCAUAAAACAAUGUGAAUGCUAAAUAUAGGUUAAAACUGUUUCAACCAAUUUCUAGAUGUUAUAUAUUAUAUUCAGGUUCAUUGUUAUUAAGUGCACCAAAUAGAAGCACCAAAUAGAAACAACUCAUGGGCACUUAGGCCCAUGAGUGUGGUAGAGCUUGUAAUCAUUAUUCUAUAAUAAUAUCAAUGCUCCUGGGAAGUAGACACAAUUGACCGAACCUCGUUACCAAAUUCUUUUGUUUCUUUUCUUCUAUUUAUUCUAUGCACUCUAUUUGUCUGCUGCACCAACAAUUGAUAUCAGAGCUAAUUGGUAGAUGGCUCUUAACCUAGGCACCAAAUUAUGGCUAAAGAGGGUGAAAGCAUGUUGAUUGGACAAGGUCUAUUAAAGGUAAUGCACGAGGAUAAAGUCAAAGAUGAGUUGAAGGAGAAGGAAACAUGGUGGGACCAUAGUUGUGUUGGAUCCAGCACCACAGAAGUCCACGUAUUGGAUUGAGACCAAGAUGAAGAUAAAGACAAAGGUGAUUGGUUAGAUGCUAACAAUAUCUCUCUAGAUGUUGAGAGAAUGAUCUCGUUUGAGAUGAAAAGUGGAAUUCCUAAUGGCGUGCGUGCAACGUUAAAAUCAAGUAUAUUAAUUGUUAGCAGAUUCACAAAAGCACAAAGGUGCUAAUUGAUUUUGAUGCAGGGUGUAACACGGGCAUUGCUUUGGGUGCAAGUUAUAACACAAACAUUAGUAGAGAAGCAUGGUGUGACAUAGACAUUAGCUUGGAUGCAAGGAUAUGGCAUGUAGAUUUGUUAGCAUUAAUACAAUAUGUACUGUGAGUAUACUCCUUAUGGUGAAGUAUAAUAGUUCUUUUGAACUAUGAUUGUCAGACUAGACAAUGGUGCAAGCAGUUGAGGCUUUUCAAGGAAGUUCAAUGGUUUAGCUAGCUGAGUAUUGAAGAAGACAUUUGUCAGUGAAGUUUGGUGUAGAAGUUCUAUAAUAUCGAAAGACUUCCUAGCAAUAGGUGGCUAGACAACAUGUUCUAUUAGAUGAUGGUAUGUGAAGGUACACUAAAGGUUUGGAGAGCUAGGCAUUUGGUAACAUCGUCAAAGAUACUCAGAAAGACUUAUGCUCAAGAGGAGCAAAACUCUUAUGUGGAGAAGUUGUUAAAGAGAAUUAGACAUUUGGCAAAGUGGAGUCAGAUAUUCGCUAAGGUGAAGAUUAUUGUGUAGAUUUCUCAAUGAGCGAAAUAUUCGUCUAUUUCAAUCAAUGUGAAGAUUGUUAAGAACAUUUGAAAUAUGUUAUUAUAUGAAGUUCCACAUUGCCUAGUAUUAGAAUAGAGUAGAAUAUUAAUAUUAUAUAUUGAAAUCAUGUCUCUUGUUAUUAAGUGCACCAGAUAGAAGUACCAAAUAGAAACACUCUAUGGGCAUUGGGGUCCAUGGAUGUGGUGGAGCUUAUAAUCCUUAUUUUCUAAUAAUAUUUUGGUAGCCGCUCAAUGCUCUUGGGAAUAUAGGCACAAUUGGUCAAACCUUCUUGUUUCUUCUCUUUUAUUUAUUCUAUGCACUUUAUUUGAUUGUUUGUGACCAACAGUACACAAUGAUAACUUCCGCUGCACCAACACUUAGUAUGAAAGCAACCUAACAUAAUUAAAGAUGAGCAGCUUAACAAAACAAAAACAUAAGCAAAUUUAUCACACCAAUCAUGCAUAACUCCUAUUAAACCACGGUCAUAUAGAAGUAUAGAACCAGUAAUGUGUUGAAUCCACUAACAGGAAGGAUAUUCAUAACCCAGAAGUCAUUCUGAAGAUUAUGCAGUGUUGUAGCAAACCUGCAUUUAUCAAAAUAAAGUUACCUCAUAAGACACACAUAGGUAACUGCAAAGCUAUCUUCAUUGUUUAAAAAUGUUAUUAUAGUCCAUAUUGCAUACUAGAUAACUAUUGUUAGGAGGGUGAACGAUUUCACCAUUAAAAUUUAGAAUCACUAAAUCACUAGAAUACUUUCAUCUAAAGAAUCGAAUUGAGGAAACUAGCUAGGAAUUCAAUAACAAAUUCAAAAGUUUCAAAGAAAUAAGCAGUAGAGAUUCUUGCAAGAAAGAAAAGAAGAUACAAGAAGAUUUUAUGAAGAAUUGUCAAAAUGUCAAAAAUGUCAAGUAAUUUGCUUAACAAGUUACUUACACAAAAGUCCCAACACUAACUAACUUUCUCUCCCAUUAACUAACUAUACUAUUACAAUUAUGCCCUUAAUAUUGCUCCUCCCAUACAAAAAUUGUUGCCCUCAAGAAUCGAAUUGAGGAAACUGCUAAGAGAAAUCAAAACAAAACUCUGAUGGAAGUAGAAGAGCUUCUUCUUUUCUGGAAAGAGAAAUUGUAUAACCUACACAAAGAACAUUAAAGGAAGUAAAAGAGCAUAUGGAACAUCGAAUGGUAGAGAAAAUUGAGAAAUGCAUGGUGGAGCUUGCAGAUGAAAUUCAAAAGACAUUGGCAGAAUCAUUGAGAAAUACAAGGAGGAACUUAUGAAAAGGAACAAGCAAGAUUCAGAAAGAUCACCCAAGAAUAGAAGCUUUAAUUCUAAUGAACAAGAAUGUAAACAAGGUGUUCAAUGCUUUGUUCCAGAUGAAUAAAAAUCUCAAUUCCUCACACUUCGCUUCUGAAAUUGCACUGUCUAGAGUUGAUUUUCCUAGGUUUAGUGGGGAAAAUGUUUAAGUCUUAGAUAAAUCAAUGUGAAACUUAUUUUAUGUGUAAUGGAACACUUGAGGAGUUUAAAGUAGAAUUAGGCAAUGCCUAUUUUGAAGGAAAAACAUUACAAUGGUAGGAUGUUUUUAAAUCUAAUUGGAAUAGUGUUUGGCUUAAAUGGGAUGAAUAUGUGAAAAUUUUGGUUAAACAGUAUAGAAAGCUGAAUGAUGAUACUAUUGUGGAACUAAUGAAUUUGAGAUAGAAAAUAUCAAUAAUGAAGAUUUCAAUACAAUCAUCACAAAAUUACAUUUGUCAAAAAUGUCAAGUAACUUGCUUAACAAGCUACUUAUACAAGAGUCUUACCAUUAAUUAACUUUCCCUCCCAUUAACUAUAUUAUUACAAUUAUGCUCUCAACAUUUGUAGCACUGUUGGGCUUUUAUUUACCAUAAACCAGAUUUUAGGUGAUGUUUAUUCAUCCAUUGUUUGGAAUUUUCACUUAAACAAAAAUCAUAUAUAUGCUCAUAGCCUCAUAGUAUUCUUGUCCUUUGUGUUAUUGUGUAUGUUAAAAGAAAUGAGAAUGCUAAGACUUGAAGUAUUGAAAAUGAGAAUUUUGCAUUACAAAAUGAGUAAUUGGUGUGGUGCCCACAAAGAUAUAAAACUAACAUCCUAGUCACCCUCCAUCAUAUCAAAAGAUAUGUUGUAUUUAUUUAGCCCUCAUACAAUUUUAUUUCACACAAUCACUAUAAAAGUCACAUCUAAGCAACAACCGUGAAAGGGACCAAGAAUUUAUUGCACACCAAACU
rnacentral:lncRNA from 1 species